GACCGGCGCACGGGUGAGUAACACGUAUCCAACCUGCCGCUUACUCGGGGAUAGCCUUUCGAAAGAAAGAUUAAUACCCGAUGGUAUAAAGAGUUCGCAUGUUCUCUUUAUUAAAGAAUUUCGGUAAGCGAUGGGGAUGCGUUCCAUUAGAUAGUUGGCGGGGUAACGGCCCACCAAGUCUACGAUGGAUAGGGGUUCUGAGAGGAAGGUCCCCCACAUUGGAACUGAGACACGGUCCAAACUCCUACGGGAGGCAGCAGUGAGGAAUAUUGGUCAAUGGACGAGAGUCUGAACCAGCCAAGUAGCGUGAAGGAUGACUGCCCUAUGGGUUGUAAACUUCUUUUAUAAGGGAAUAAAGUGAGGGACGUGUCCCUUUUUGUAUGUACCUUAUGAAUAAGGAUCGGCUAACUCCGUGCCAGCAGCCGCGGUAAUACGGAGGAUCCAAGCGUUAUCCGGAUUUAUUGGGUUUAAAGGGAGCGUAGGUUGACAUAUAAGUCAGCUGUGAAAGUUUACGGCUCAACCGUGAAAUUGCAGUUGAUACUGUAUGUCUUGAGUGUACAAGAGGUGGGCGGAAUUCGUGGUGUAGCGGUGAAAUGCUUAGAUAUCACGAAGAACUCCAAUUGCGAAGGCAGCUCACUGGGGUACAACUGACACUGAGGCUCGAAAGUGUGGGUAUCAAACAGGAUUAGAU
rnacentral:rRNA from 1 species